GGCAAGGGUUGCCUAGUAACGGCGAGUGAACAGGCAAGAGCUCAGAUUUGAAAGGCACUUUUGUGCCGUUGUAUUCUGAAGUUAGGGUCCUGAGAAACGAUGCUUAAGUCUUCUGGAAAGGAGCGCCAUGGAGGGUGAUAGCCCCGUCUAGCAUUGACCUCAUAUAGGAUCUUAACAUGGAGUCGAGUUGUUUGGGAAUGCAGCUCAAAUGGGUGGUAUGCUCCAUCUAAAGCUAAAUAUCUGCGAGAGACCGAUAGUAAACAAGUACUGUGAGGGAAAGAUGAAAAGAACUUUGAAAAGAGAGUGAAAAAGUACGUGAAAUUGUUGAAAUGGAAGGGUAGGCCGCUAACCAUGUAGAGCCGUGUUUGGGGGGAAGAUAAAUGCUGUAGAAUGUAGCUCCUCGGAGUAUUAUAGAUGCAGUUCAUAUUCCCACCCGAGCGCGAGGAUCUCAGGUUCUACUAAAUGGUGGUCUACCACCCGUCUUG
rnacentral:rRNA from 1 species